rnacentral:tRNA from 1 species
GUGGAAUUAGCUCAGCUGGCAGAGCAUCAGAUUGUGGUUCUGAGGGUCGUGGGUUCGAACCCCACAUUCCACCCCA